rnacentral:sRNA from 1 species
GACUUCUUCCGAAAACACUAGAAACCUUAAACUACAGAAUUCUCAGCUGCUCGGCAACGGGUUGGUGAUUUCGAUCAUGCGUCCUACACUCCUCCUCGAGAUCUCUUCCAUCUCUGUUUCUGAUCUUUUCGAUCUCUCCUUCGUGAUCCUUCGAUCUCUGCUUCCUCAUCUUUUUGGUCUUUGCUUUGCGAUCUCCUUGCCGUCUAAUCGUGCGCUCAAUUUCUCUAGCCUUCAACAGUUGACGUGCUUUUCCGUUCAUCGCCAAAACAAACCCACGCUGCCUCCCUCUUUGUCUUCUCCUCCAGCAAUUUCCGCCCUUAGUUCUCAAUUGGAUUCACAGUAGAAACCCAAAAACUUAGAGAGUAAAAACGUUGAAACUUAAAGAUCUUACCCCGCAGUGCUCAAUCCAGAGAAUUGGGACUCAUAAUCAAUAAGAUUCAUAUGGUUUAUUGGUAUCAAUUUUGGUUGCAGCAAUGCUAUUCUUGCUGAAGACCUGCCAUAAAUUCAAAGCACGCAGAGAUCUCGAGUCAAAAGCAGAGGUACCCAACCCCUUUUGUUCGAUUUUUGCUUUGUUUUAUCUCUGUUUUCAUUUUUGGGUACGAUUUUGUGCUUUAUAAUUGGGUUUAAUGUGAAAGUUUUUGAAGCAGCUAAAUCUCAUUCAGUUCUGUUUGAUUGAUUGUUUAUCUAUGAUUUGUUCUGUUAUGCUUGGUAGGUUUAAAUUGAAUUGGAUUUGUAUGUGAUUCGAGUUGAUUAAAAUUUUUUUUUUUCAGUUGUAAAUCAUAUUUGUUGCAGAUCAUGAAACAAUUUCAUGUUUGGUUUAAGAGAAUAGGCUUGAUUCGAUGAGAUUUGGAUUCAUGAGUUAUAGCCAUCUGAGAUACGCAAGAGUGUUUGCAUUCUUUAGAAAAAAUUUAGGAGCUACAAAAGUAUGCUUUAAAUUUGAGUUUUGUGAUUACUAUUUUUGUUCUUUAUCUUACUAAGAUUUUGGUAAAUUUUGAGCAACUCUUGCACAGCGAAAUGACUCCCACCACCCAACAAACGCAACUGUUACAAUUUCAAUUGCAGUUCUUGAAGAAAGGUAAAGCCUAUGUUCUGUACAAAGUCUUAGAUUUUUUUAUAUGGGGUUUCAUUUUUUGUGCUUUUUUUUUCCCUUGAGAAUAUUAAUAUUGUUGAGUUAUUAAAUUCGACUAUUGCAUAGGUUAAAUUUUACGUCAAAUUGUAGUAAUUGUCAUACAAGUUUAUAUUUUUGUAUAGAAUUGCAGACAGUUUGAAUUUUGGAUGAGAGUUUAGAAUAUUUAUAAGUUGGUUCUGUUGUGGGAUCUCCAUAUAGCAAAUUUAUCCUACUUUGUAGUUCAAAAAUCAUAGGUUAGAUUGUCUACUGUAGCUAUACAAUUUUUCCAUGUUUUUCAGAUCAUGGAAUGAGUUUCUCAUGCUGAGAUUGUAACCCAAUCAAUAAAAAAAGUGAAACACAGAAGUUCUAUAUCGCAUGUUAGUUUUGAUCCAUUUCUAAAAAUCCUAUGCAUGAUACAAGAAAAACAUUUCUUUGCUGCAAAGAAGAGUGAAGUACUGAACAACAAUGUGAAAAGUUGGGACCUAGAAAACAAGAUAUUUUUAAUGUGUAUUAUAACUACAUGGAUGUAAAUAAGAUAAUUUUUACAUAUCAAUUGUUCUUUAUAGAACAUAGGGAUGUAGAUAGAUUUUGAUAUGAAACUGGAAAGAAGAAUACCAAAUGAAGCACUGAUUUGUUGAGAUAUUUAUUUUUGCUUGGAAAAAAAUUGAUAUAUUGUGGAUUAUUACUAACAUAUAUAAAACUAUAAGCUUUUGAGAUUGGGAGACAAAACCCACAAAUUCAAAUCAGACAAAAAAAAUAAAUAAAAAAUUUAACAGACUUAAAGAUCAAACUCCAAAAGGGUAUUAAAAACAAGGCUUAUUUGAUCCAUUGAGUGUGAAAGUUUUGAGCUUUGAAGAAGCAGAGGAGGAGAGUUGCCAGUCCAUCUUCAAGUAAGCUUGGCAACCAUAGAUCAGGCUGUGGAGAGGAUGGAGAAAAUUAUCCUGCUGCUUAACAAGAGUCACAACAGUAGCAGAAUCCACCUUCACCUCAGCAGAUCUAAAACCUCUCAUCCAAGCAAGCAUAAUCCAAAAAAAAGGCAUAUGGAUUCACAUGGAUUUCGCGGAGCUAGAGAAAGAUACUGCCUCAAGAGAUGAGUGGUUACUGAUGUGUAGAAAGCAAAUUGUUUUCUCGCAAAUGAUAUUUAUCAAAGAUGACAUUCAUUAUGGUCAAAUAAACUCAGAUUUUCGGCAGACCACAUUUUUUCCCUUUGCAGUAUUUUUUGUCCUUGAAAAAGAACUUGGAACCAGCUUUUCACAUAACAUGGAUGAUGAAUGCAAGAAACUCAUACACAGAAUAACUCCACCAAGGUGGUGAUGUAAUCAUAAGAAAAAGUCGAGUUCUUUAGUUCAUUGCAAAUCGACCCAUUGCCAGGCACCCUAAUAUUAGUAGUCAAAAUGGAGCAAUUUGUCUGGAUAUUUUGAAAGACCAAUGGAACCCAAUUCUGACAUUUAACUGCAGAGAUUGUUGGGUCUAAAAAUAAGAAAAUGGAGAGAGUAACACGACACUACUCGAAAUUGGCUUUGGCAGACGAAAGAUGAAGGGUAAAGUAAAAAGGCAAAAAGACACCCAGGAGUUCCCGCAACACAUGUCCACACACGAGUCCCAUCCUCAGCAGGAAAACUUCUGGAUAGGCCAAAAUCCGCUAGUUUGGCUUGAAAGUUUUCAUUCAACAAUAUAUUUGUAGAUUUCACAUCUCUGUGGAUUAUAGGAGGUUUGCAGCCGUAGUGCAGAUACUCCAAUCCCACAUGCAAAUUUUCUUAACACUUGUUACACAAGAAAAAAAAAGAAAGUAGAUAUGUUAUAGAGGGACUAAGAAAAUUUCAACUCGCUGACCGUGUGCAGCGUCAAUUGCAAUCCGAAGUCUGUCUGCCCAACUCAAUAUAUUUGACCUGUUAUCUGCGUUUGUACAUAAUGAAUCAGUCAUUAGUUCUGUGUUAUUCUAUUUAAAUUCUAAUAGAGUUAUUGAUUGUUGCCAAAAUUAACAGGUGUUAAGAGCAUGUUGAUGAAGUUGUUUGAUUGUUCACCAUGUGGCCUAGUGUUUAUUUCCCUGUAUGCUUUUACGUGCACUUUUAGAUUGUUCAGAGUGUUGUUAAAGUUUCUUUUGAGGGUUGUUUCUUUCUCUGCUAUUAAUUUAUCUGAAAGAUGCUCGUGUAAGUUUCCAUUGAACAUGUAUUCAUAAAUGAGCCCUGUAUUGGUUCCGUCAGUGCAAUAUCCGACAAGGCUUGUCAAGUUCCUGUGGUGAACUCUCAUGAGAAGAUUAACCUGCAAAAAAGAAAAGAACUUAUUUAUGAGUAUAUGAUAGUGCUCAGAUUGUU